rnacentral:tRNA from 1 species
GGUGGCUCAGUGGUAGAGCACUUGCCUUGCAUGCAUGAGGCCCUGGGUUCAAUUCCCUAGCACCA